GGAGAGAUGGCUGAGAGGCCGAAAGCGCCGGAUUGCUAAUCCGGUAAGGGUCGAAAGACUCUUCACGGGUUCGAAUCCCGUUCUCUCCGC
rnacentral:tRNA from 1 species